rnacentral:rRNA from 1 species
ACGGUCCUAAGGUAGCGAAAUUCCUUGUCGGGUAAGUUCCGACCCGCACGAAAGGCGUAAUGAUUUGAGCGCUGUCUCGACAAUGCAUCCGGUGAAAUUGAAGUACCAGUGAAGAUGCUGGUUACCCGCGCCAGGACGGAAAGACCCCAUGGAGCUUUACUCCAGUUUGAUACUGGGAUUCGGUACUGCAUGUACAGGAUAGGUGGGAGACGAAGAAGGAUGGACGCCAGUCUGUCCGGAGUCGCUGUUGGGAUACCACCCCUGUAGUACUGGGUUUCUAACCAGUUGCCAUGAACUGGCAAUGGGACAAUGUCAGGCGGGGAGUUUGACUGGGGCGGUCGCCUCCGAAAGGGUAUCGGAGGCGCUCAAAGGUUCCCUCAGAAUGGUUGGAAACCAUUCGAAGAGUGCAAAGGCAGAAGGGAGCUUGACUGCGACACCGACGGGUGGAGCAGGUACGAAAGUAGGACUUAGUGAUCCGGUGGUAUAAAGUGGGAUUGCCAUCGCUCAACGGAUAAAAGCUACCCUGGGGAUAACAGGCUUAUCACUCCCAAGAGUUCACAUCGACGGAGUGGUUUGGCACCUCGAUGUCGGCUCAUCGCAUCCUGGGGCUGUAGCAGGUCCCAAGGGUUGGGCUGUUCGCCCAUUAAAGCGGUACGCGAGCUGGGUUCAGAACGUCGUGAGACAGUUCGGUCCCUAUCCGGCGCGGGCGGAGGAUAUUUGAGAGGAGCUGUCCUUAGUACGAGAGGACCGGGAUGGACGGACCACUGGUGUAUCUGUUGUCGACCAACGGCAUGGCAGAGUAGCCAAGUCUGGAAGGGAUAAACGCUGAAGGCAUCUAAGCGUGAAGCCCCCCUCAAGAUGAGAUAUCCCAUCGCAAGAGUAAGACCCCUUGAAGACGACGAGGUAGAUAGGUCAGAGGUGGAAGUGCAGCAAUGCAUGGAGCUGACUGAUACUAAUCGGUCGAGGGCUUGACCAG